AGGAAGAGGAGGAAGAGAAGGAGGAAGAGAAGGAGGAAGAGGAGGUGAAGGAACAGGAAAAGGAAGAAGAGAAGAAGGAGGAAGAUGAUGAAUGCAGAAUGUAUUGGGUAUCCGAACUGACCUGCCCAAGUGAAACGAAACACGUCUGUAGCACGGAGAACAAAACGUAUAGCAGUUUAUGCAUGCUGUGUUUUGCAAAACAGCACAAGAAGGAAAUUAAUAUGGCGCAUGAAGGCAAAUGCAAGGAAAUGGUACCUAUUCAUUUUAUGUUCAGAACUUGCUUCCCUUUUCAAAUAAUUACUUGACCAUUGGUUUGAGUCCUGCCCUCCAGAGGAGGAGAAAACAAGCUUGUUCCCUUUUCCACAUGAGAUAUGUGAAGAUGGCUGUCAUAUAACUUCCCAGUCUCCUCUUUUUAUGCUAAACAUACCCAGUUUCCUCAACUGUUCCUCAUAA